UGGGGAAUAUUGCACAAUGGGCGCAAGCCUGAUGCAGCCAUGCCGCGUGUGUGAAGAAGGCCUUCGGGUUGUAAAGCACUUUCAGCGGGGAGGAAGGCGUUAAGGUUAAUAACCUUGGCGAUUGACGUUACCCGCAGAAGAAGCACCGGCUAACUCCGUGCCAGCAGCCGCGGUAAUACGGAGGGUGCAAGCGUUAAUCGGAAUUACUGGGCGUAAAGCGCACGCAGGCGGUCUGUCAAGUCGGAUGUGAAAUCCCCGGGCUCAACCUGGGAACUGCAUUCGAAACUGGCAGGCUAGAGUCUUGUAGAGGGGGGUAGAAUUCCAGGUGUAGCGGUGGAAUGCGUAGGGAUCUGGAGGAAUACCGGUGGCGAAGGCGGCCCCCUGGACGAAGACUGACGCUCAGGUGCGAAAGCGUGGGGAGCAAACAGG
rnacentral:rRNA from 1 species